AAAGUACUCCCUCCGCCCCAAAAUUCUUGUCUUAGAUUUGUCUAGAUACGGAUGUAUCAAGUCACAUUUUAGUAUUAGAUACAUUCGUAUCUAGACAAAUCUAAGACAAGAAAUUUGGGACAGAGGGAGUAGUGA
rnacentral:pre_miRNA from 1 species